UACGUAGGGGGCAAGCGUUGUCCGGAAUUAUUGGGCGUAAAGAGCGCGUAGGCGGUCCGGUAAGUCGGUUGUGAAAGUCGGGGGCUCAACCCUCGGAUGCCGAUCGAUACUGUCGGGCUAGAGUCCGGAAGAGGCGAGUGGAAUUCCUGGUGUAGCGGUGAAAUGCGCAGAGAUCCGGAGGAACCCCAGAGGCGAAGGCGGCGUCCUGGCCCAUUUCUGACGUUCAGACAUGACAGCAUGGGGAGCGAACGGG
rnacentral:rRNA from 1 species